rnacentral:rRNA from 1 species
GACGAACGCUGGCGGCGUGCUUAACACAUGCAAGUCGAACGGUAAGGCCCUUCGGGGUACACGAGUGGCGAACGGGUGAGUAACACGUGGGUGAUCUGCCCUGCACUUCGGGAUAAGCCUGGGAAACUGGGUCUAAUACCGGAUAGGACUCCUGGCUUCAUAGUUGGGGGUGGAAAGCUUUUGCGGUGUGGGAUGGGCCCGCGGCCUAUCAGCUUGUUGGUGGGGUAAUGGCCUACCAAGGCGACGACGGGUAGCCGGCCUGAGAGGGUGACCGGUAACACUGGGACUGGGAUCCGGCCCAGAAUCCUACGGGAGGCAGCAGUGGGGAAUAUGGCACAAUGGGCGCAAGCCUGAUGCAGCGACGCCGCGUGAGGGAUGACGGCCUUCGGGUUGUAAACCUCUUUCAGCUAUGACGAAGCGCAAGUGACGGUAGUAGCAGAAGAAGGACCGGCCAACUACGUGCCAGCAGCCGCAGUAA